AUCGUGUAUGCUGUCAUACCUACAAGAAAAAUCUAUAAGAUGUGACUCAGAAGAAUUGGAAAUAGUAUUGUACAGUGAUAACUGCGGAGCUCAACAAAAAAAUAGAUUUUUGAUUGCAGUUUUUAUGUAUGCCGUAAUGAACUUCAAAAUAAAAAGCAUUACCCAUAAAUAUCUUGUGGUCGGCCAUACUCAAAAUCCUGGAGAUUCAGUCCACUCGACCAUUGAGAAGCAGGUUACACGCUCUUUAAAAUCAGGUCCGAUCUUUGUACCUGAUCAAUUUGUUACUAUGAUCAGAAUGGCCAAAAAAAAAGGAACUCCAUACCACGUCAAGGAGCUUACACAUGAUGACUUUUACAAUGUUAAGCAACUAAUGACUGAUUUUGGAAGUAAUUUCACAGUUAAUUCUAAGAAAGAACAGGUUUUUAUAAAUAGUCUUCGUGUAGUUAAAGUCGAAAAGGCACAUCCAUUUAAAUAUUUUUACAAAACAUCUUUUUCUGAUUUGGAGUUUGAGCAAGCGAUUGUAAGAGAAACUAAACUUGUUAAUACCCGAAAAUCCUCUAGAAGGACAGAAACAGACUGUGAUGUCCCAAAAGUGCCUACAUUAGUCAAAGCAUAUUCUUCUAAACUUCCUUUAAUUGAAAAUAAAAAAAGGACCUUAAAUUCCUGUUAGAAAACGGAUACAUUCCAAAAUAUUAUUCACUCUUUUAUAACUCUUUGUUUUAAUUUUAGCUUGGAAUUUUUAGAAU